rnacentral:lncRNA from 1 species
AUAUUUAAUGUAAGAAGACUUACAAAUACUCAAUGAAAGGCCGAUUUCUUCUUAAAUUUUCAUUUUCCUGGCUCACAUUAUCAUUCUCCUUGAAAUCAUUCUCAUUACCCUCAUCUACAUUUUCAGCCAUUUUCGAGUUUACAAGAACCUGUACAUGAAGAUUUAGCACAAAAAGAAAUGUCAAAUAUCACAAGUUUUGGAUCCUGUAAAACAAUAGAAACUUUAACCCAAAAGCAGUAAUAAAUUUAUCCAGAAACAGCAAAAAAUGUAACUAAAAAACAGUAGUAAAUUUUACCCAAAAACAACAAAAAAUUUAACCCAAAUACAGCAGCAAAUGAAGCCCAAAACACCAAAAAAAUUUACAUGUAAACAGCAAAAAAUUUAGCCAAAAAAAGUCGUAAAUUUAUCCAAACAGCAACAAAUUUACCCAGAAAAGAGGACAUGAUUAUUGAUGUUGGCUUAAUUCUGCGGGCAUUGAGAGUUAAAAGAAGAGAGAGAGAGAUGAUGAAAAAAUAGAAAAUUCAUUCUAUAGUUUCUGUGCUCCUCUCUCUCUCUCUCACAUCAUGCCCGAGGACGAAAACAGAGUAAAGAUGCAAAAUUGUGCACAGAAGGAAUAUUAUAUCAGAUAAUAUAAAAUUGAAUGAGAGAUCUGGAACUAAAUUCUGCUGUACCGUACAUCCGCCUUGGCCGUACAGCAGCUGGAGCGCAUCUAGUUUCCAUGGCUUUCUGAGUUCCCUUCACGAAAUCAUCUUCUUUGCCUUUAUUCCGUGUUGUAUCACUACCAACCAUUCUAAAUUUAGCCUUCUCUUCUUCACUCAAGUUUUUGAAACAUUUCCCUAAUUUAAUUCUAUCCUAAAAAAUUAAAAAAAAAUGACAAUCAGUUAUUGCUUGUAACACGUCCCAAAUUUAAUGGAAAUUAAUUAUCGCACCUACACUCACCACUUUUUUUCCUUGUUCCCGUAAUAUUUUUGCUUCUUGCUUGCUGCAGUCAAUUAUAAAUAUUUUGAAAAAAAAAUAUAUAAUCAGUGCACAUUAACAUUAUAGUGAUUGGCUUUACUAAAUAUUCAUAAAUUUACCAACAGUCAAAAAUAUAAUAUUUAAUGUAAGAAGACUUACAAAUACUCAAUGAAAGGUCGAUUUCUUCUUAAAAUUUCACUUUCUUGGCUCACAUUAUCAUUCUCCUUGAAAUCAUUCUCGUUACCCUCAUCUACAUUUUCAGCCAUUUUCGAGUUUACAAAAACCUGUACAUGAACAUUUAGGCACAAAAAGAAAUGUCAAAUAUCACAAGUUUUGGAUCCUAUAAACCAACAGAACAUUUAACCCAAAAACAACAAUAAAUUUAUCCAAAAAUAGCAAACAAUUUAACCUAAAAACAACAAUA